GCCCCCCCUGUAAAGAUGGACGGCGGGCGCUGACCCCCCCUUUCCUCUUUCGAUCCUAGAGCUGUUACGUCAGGUAGCGCGCUCCGGACCCCCGGCCUCAGGUGACGAGCCAGGUGGGUCCUCGUCCCAUCCCUGCCCCAUAACCCCCCCAACAGGGGACCCCCACCCCAAUUAUAACCUCACCCCCCAUCACACACCAUCAGUCUGUGUCCCUGUGUCCAUUAUGGACAUGGAGAUGGGGGUCCUUAGGGGCUCCCUUGGGGUCCCCAUAUCCAUCUAUGGGACAUUAGAGGGGUCCUUGGGUCCCUUCGGGGUCCCAUGUCCCUUAUGGACACUGAAGGACCCUUGGGGUGUCCCCAUAUCCCUUAUGGACAUGGAGAUGGGGGUCCUUGGGGUCCCUUGGGGUCCCCAUGUCCCUUAUGGACACUGAAGGACCCUUGGGUGUCCCCAUCCCUUAUGGACAUUGAGGACCCUUAGGGACAUAAAGGACCCUUGGGGUGUCCCCAUUAUCACCCUGUGUCCCCAUAUCCCUUAUGGACAUGGAGAUGGGGGGGGGGGGGUCCUUGGGUCCCCCUUGGGGUCCCCAUGUCCCUUAUGGACACUGAAGGACCUUGGGGUGUUCCCAUUCACAUUAUGACUGGAGAUGCGGGUCCUUGGUCCUCUUGGCGGUCGCCCAUGUCCCUUACCAUGAGACAUGGA
rnacentral:lncRNA from 1 species